rnacentral:lncRNA from 1 species
CCUCGGUCCAGUGGCCACCCUGCCCCAGCCUCCAGGACUCCUCAGCACCUGCUGGCCACCGGGCUCCUUUAGGCAUUGAGAGAAGCUGCACUGGGACCCAUGCUUGGAUCUUCUUCCUUCCUCCUCCUCUCUGUGGACUAAGAAGCUUUCACGGAUUCCCCAUGGCAGACGAAAAAAUGACUGUGAUCAGGCCCCUGGGAUGUGUUCUUGCAAGCAUUGCCAAGUGGAAUUGAGAGGGCAGGAAGAGAGAAGACAGAGAGAGAGAAAAAAGAAACUUCCUUGUGUUGGUAAAUAGAGUUGAUGUGAUCUGUGAGCCACUGGGGACAGUGGCUACAGAAGAUGCAAAUGUCACGCUCUUUGGAGUACCUUUGACUGGCUGCCUCCUCUCCACGCAUGCAGGCAGAGGAUGUGCUGCCGGAGCAAGUGCACCAGCUCAAAAUGAAUCUCCCCCACGGCUUCCUCCUGACUGAUUCCUACGUAUCCUUCUCGUCUCAGUCAGGAAACACAUCCUCUGGGAAGUCUUCCAUGACCGUUUAACAUCUAGCAUCUGCCUCCGUGGCAUUCCUCUAGGUGAAGAAAUAGAUGUUGAGAAGAUAUUUGGUAACAUGCUGAAAGCCACACAGCUAGCAGCAGCAGAACGGGGAUUUGGACCCCUGUCUAUUUGGCUGUAAAGUUCAUUUUCUCUCCGAUAUACCAGGGACAGGAUCUCUCUCUCAUCCUGACUGGAGUACAGUGAUGACAUCCCAGCUCACCGCAGCUUCGACUUUCCAGGCUCAGGUGAUCCUCCCACCUCAGUCUCCUGGGAGACUACAGGCUCUUGAUCCAUUCCUAUGGUGGGUGACAUAAUGGCCCUUCCGAAGAUGUCCGUGUCCUAAUUCCUGGAGCCUGUGAAUACACUGGCUGCAUGGCAAGGGUGGAGAUUAAGGUUGCAGAUGGAAUGAAGGUUCCAGCUCACCUUAAAAUAGAGAUUAUCUUGGGUUAUCCGAGUGGACCCAGUGUAAUCACAAGGUUUCUUUAAAUGUGAAGGAGAGAGGCAGGAGAAGAUCUACCCUGCUGGCUUUGAAGUUGGAAGGGUGCCACAAGCCACAAGUGAAGGAAUGUGGGCAGCCUCUAGAAGCUGAAAAAGGCAAGAAAGUGGAUUCUUUCUUAAAACACCCAGAAGGGAACACUGCUCUGCAGGCACCUUGAUUUCAGCCUUGUGAGACCCAUUUUGGACAUCUGACCCCCAGAACUGUAAGAUAAUAAAUCUGUGUUGUUUGAAGCCAUC